rnacentral:rRNA from 1 species
UACGUAGGCAGCAAGCGUUGUUCGGAAUUACUGGGCGUAAAGGGCGCGUAGGCGGCCUGUUAAGUCGGACGUGAAAUCCCACGGCUCAACCGGGGAACUGCGUCCGAUACUGGCGGGCUUGAAUUCGGGAGAGGGAUGUGGAACUCCAGGUGUAGCGGUGAAAUGCGUAGAUAUCUGGAGGAACACCGGUGGCGAAGGCGGCAUCCUGGACCGACAUUGACGCUGAGGCGCGAAAGCCAGGGGAGCAAACGGG